rnacentral:lncRNA from 1 species
UGUCCUUCGACUGCUUGCCGAAAUCCUUUUUGCCCCAGCCGGUAGGUCUCUAGAUGUUACAGAGAAUCCCAAACAACCAUAUAUGCUAAUCUCCGAUACCGCUUUAUACUCACGACCUUGUAUCUAGUGACUAUUUUUUUAGAUUAACUCAAAAAUUUUCAUUCACUCCGCAUAGUCAAUCCUAUAGACACCAUUUUAAUUCUUCAAUCA